rnacentral:rRNA from 1 species
AUACGGCAAGCGUACACAUGCAAGUCGAGCGGUAACAGAUCUAGCUUGCUAGAUGCUGACGAGCGGCGGACGGGUGAGUAAUGCAUAGGAAACUGCCCAGUAGUGGGGGAUAGCCCGGGGAAACCCGGAUUAAUACCGCGUACGCCCUUCGGGGGAAAGCAGGGGAUCUUCGGACCUUGCGCUAUUGGAUGUGCCUAUGUCGGAUUAGCUAGUUGGUGGGGUAAAGGCCUACCAAGGCGACGAUCCGUAGCUGGUCUGAGAGGAUGAUCAGCCACAUCGGGACUGAGACACGGCCCGAACUCCUACGGGAGGCAGCAGUGGGGAAUAUUGGACAAUGGGGGCAACCCUGAUCCAGCCAUGCCGCGUGUGUGAAGAAGGCUUUCGGGUUGUAAAGCACUUUCAGUGAGGAGGAAAAGUUGGUCACUAAUAUUGGCCAGCCUUGACGUUACUCACAGAAGAAGCACCGGCUAACUCCGUGCCAGCAGCCGCGGUAAUACGGAGGGUGCAAGCGUUAAUCGGAAUUACUGGGCGUAAAGCGCGCGUAGGUGGUUUGAUAAGCGAGAUGUGAAAGCCCCGGGCUUAACCUGGGAACGGCAUUUC